GAAAACAUUCUGGAUAAAUGAAAGCAUGGGACUUACCAGAAAACCAGGCGAGGCCAUACAAAAAACACCAAGCCAAACACUACCUCAAGGAGGGUUUUACAGGUGACUGAGGAUAACAAAAUUCUGAAAAUACGCCUGGUAUUGAACUGAACAAGAAGUGCAUUUUUCAAUCAGCCCAAGCCAAUGUGGAAUUCAUUCACUUCUCUGAAUACAUGGAUUUAUCUCCUUUCCUUAACUGCAGACCAUGAAGCCUCCAACCUCUGGUCCUGC
rnacentral:lncRNA from 1 species